rnacentral:rRNA from 1 species
ACGGGACCCCGCACAAGCGGUGGAUCAUGUUGUUUAAUUCGAUGAUACGCGAAGAACCUUACCAGGUCUUGACAUCCCCUGCAAAGCUAUGGAGACAUAGUGGAGGUUAUCAGGGAGACAGGUGGUGCAUGGUUGUCGUCAGCUCGUGUCGUGAGAUGUUGGGUUAAGUCCCGCAACGAGCGCAACCCUUAUUGCUAGUUACCAUCAUUGAGUUGGGGACUCUAGCGAGACUGCCAGUGAUAAACUGGAGGAAGGUGGGGAUGACGUCAAAUCAUCAUGCCCCUUAUGACCUGGGCUACAAACGUGAUACAAUGGCUGAAACAAAGGGCAGCGAAGCAGUGAUGUGGAGCGAAACCCAAAAAAGCAGUCUCAGUUCGGAUUGAAGUCUGCAACUCGACUUCAUGAAGUCGGAAUCGCUAGUAAUCGCGGAUCAGAACGCCGCGGUGAAUACGUUCUCGGGGUUU